CCUACGGGGGGCUGCAGUGAGGAAUAUUGGUCAAUGGGCGCGAGCCUGAACCAGCCAAGUCGCGUGAAGGAUGACUGCCCUACGGGUUGUAAACUUCUUUUAUAAAGGAAUAAAGUGAGGCACGUGUGCCUUUUUGUAUGUCCUUUAUGAAUAAGGAUCGGCUAACUCCGUGCCAGCAGCCGCGGUAAUACGGCGGAUCCGAGCGUUAUCCGGAUUUAUUGGGUGUAAAGGGAACGAAGAUGGGUUGUUAAGUCAGUUGGGAAAGUUUGGGGCUUAACCGUAAAAUUGCAAUUGAUACUGGCAGUCUUGAGUACAGUAGAGGUAGGCGGAAUUCGUGGUGUAGCGGUGAAAUGCUUAGAUAUCACGAAGAACUCCGAUUGCGAAGGCAGCUUACUAAACUGCCACUGACAUUGAUGCUCGAAAGUGUGGGGAUCAAACAGGAUUAGAUACCCCAGUAGUC
rnacentral:rRNA from 1 species